rnacentral:rRNA from 1 species
CCUACGGGAGGCAGCAGUGGGGAAUAUUGCACAAUGGGGGAAACCCUGAUGCAGCGACGCCGCGUGAAGGAAGAAGUAUUUCGGUAUGUAAACUUCUAUCAGCAGGGAAGAAAAUGACGGUACCUGACUAAGAAGCCCCGGCUAACUACGUGCCAGCAGCCGCGGUAAUCCGUAGGGGGCCAGCGUUAUCCGGAUUUACUGGGUGUAUAGGGAUCGUAGGCGGUGUUGCAAGUCAGAAGUGAAAGCCCGCAGCUCAACUGCGGGACUGCUUUUGAAACUGUAUGACUAGAUUGCAGGAGAGGUAAGUGGAAUUCCUGGUGUAGCGGUGAAAUGCGUAGAUAUUAGGAGGAACACCAGUGGCGAAGGCGGCUUACUGGACUGUAAAUGACGCUGAGGCUCGAAAGCGUGGGGAGCAAACAGGAUUAGAUACCCGAGUAGUC